CUGGAGACCUCGGCAGGGUGUGGGCCGACCUGCCUGUCUGCAGUGGGGUGAUUCGGCGUCUUCCCCGUGACUCAGGACCACGGUAGAGCGUGCACAGACCUGCCUGUCUGCAGCGGGCUGACAUUUAAUUAUAGUCUUAAGUCAGAGUAUGCAGUUUUCCUGAAUCGAAGAAUUUGUCUCAGCACAGUGUCAAGAAACAGGAAGAUUUAAGGCUCACCCAAGCAUCAACUUAGAACUAAGGGAAAAAGAAAAACCACAGAAAGAAAGGAGAUUUACUUAACCUCAAGAAUAUAGAGUUGCACGGAGCUACAGGGAGAAUGUGUGGUCCCUAAGUCUCUACACCUUUGGCGAAACAAAUGUCCAUGGCACAGCUGUGCUGCAGAUUUCCAGAGAAUUCAAAGGUUGGCUAUGUCUUUAGGGAUUCAAGUUUUUCCUAUACAACAUUUACUGUUUCAGUCCUUAAAAACAAAGGAGUUAUGGCAUCUUUCUAAAGAUGUGUUUCUUUCAUUCCAUUUUCCCUGCUUCUCUCCCUUGGUGGAAAAUAUUUUAUCACUGGAAAAAUGACUUAAGGCAAUGAGUGAUUCUAGAAAAGAACCUCAUCCCCCCUUACAGCGACUGAACCAUGCCAAGUUGUUCUGAUCUUCACACCAUAAAGUCAAGUUGUUUCAAUGACCUUUGCAUUG